GUCUAUGGCCAAUACCACCCUGAACAUACCCAAUCUCAUCUGAUCUCAGGAGAUAAACAGGAUUGGGCCUCACUAGUUAUUUGGACGGCAAACCACCUGGGGAUAUCAGGUAUAUCAGGUGCUGUAGGCU
ensembl:rRNA 5S_rRNA 5S ribosomal RNA